rnacentral:rRNA from 1 species
UACGAAGGGAGCGAGCGUUGUUCGGAAUCACUGGGCUUAAAGCGUGCGUAGGUGGAUUGGUAAGUAAGGAGUGAAAUCCCAGGGCUUAACCCUGGAACUGCUCUUUAGACUGCCUGUCUGGAAUUCGGAAGAGGUUGGUGGAACUCCCAGUGUAGAGGUGAAAUUCGCAGAUAUUGGGAAGAACACCGGUGGCGAAGGCGACCAACUGGUCCGACAUUGACACUGAGGCGCGAAAGCUAGGGGAGCAAACAGG